GUUGUUGGGAUGGGAUAGGGGUGGAGCUGUUGUCAACAAGUAGCAUUGUAGGGGAAGCAGUAGGAGUUUGUAUCCUGUCUCAUGUGACUGCUAAAAAUAAGGUGCCUGCUGAGUGUUUCUCUGUAAGCUCAGGACUUCUCUGGUGCAGCAGUGAGAGUUUUCCAGCCCAGCUGGGUGUCAUGCCAGCCUCUGCAGGAUGUCCCCGGGGCACAGCCUCCCCACCCUGCUCUCCAUCACAGCUCACUGCCCUCCCGGCCCCGCGUCUCCCCCUGACGCUCAGCGGGACGUGUUGGGAUCUGCCUGUGCCACCUCCCCUGGAAAGGGCUUCCUGUGCUCUCACCCUGCCCUGCUUAAUCAGCGCUCCCUUUGGGGUGUGAGUCUCUCCCUGGCUCGGCUGGCAGUAGUAGUGGACAUGGCAGUGCUGGGUAAAUGGUUCGACUCGAUGAUCUUGGAGUCUUUUCCAACCGGAACAGUUCUGUGAUUCCUGGGUUUGGCAUUUUACCACAGCCCUGGAUGAAAGAGCGUCCCAGAAGAGGGAGAGGGGAGGCAGUGGAGCAGUGCUGUGAAUGAUCCAUCCCUCUCCAAUACCAAAGUGGUGUGGCCAAAGCUGUUACAGGCUUCAUGCAGAGACCUGGAUGUGCUUUCAGGUGGUUUUGGACAAAGAACAGGACAGGCAAAGUGCAGCUGGGCAUCUUCCCUCAACCCCCUGACCCCAGGGCUGGUGUCUGAAGGACCCACUGCUCUGUCUUCCAUGCUUGUGUGGGUCUCUUCCAAAGAAACACAUCAAAAGUCAAGGAAGGGGAAAGGCUGGAUCCUUCCUCCCCAAAACACAGGAACAAUGGGAUCUGAUCAACAGCUGAGCCCGGAGACAGCCAGGGAGGUAACACAGCCUUGCUCCCCAUGAGCACUUCAGCACCUGGAGGCUUUGCCUGGGAUUUUUGGAGACACCCAUGAGCUGUUCUGCACCCCAUGCCACCCAUUCGGGGUUAAAGGAGUGUGGGGGAGAGGAGAUGUCCCCUCCUCCAGAGCUCUCUGCUAAGGGAGGCCUUGCAGAGCAGCUCCCACACGCCUUGUUUUUCUUGCAAGCCUGAUGUAGAGUGGAGCCAAGGUGGUGCAAGAGAGGAGAGGAGGCAGGAAUGAAAGGGCUGAGGUUUGCCUCGGGGCCUCUUUGCAAUCAGCCAGCAAUUCUCUCCCCUCUCCACCACCUCCAGCAGCAGCAGCAGCGUGUUUGAACCGCAGGCUUGUCGAGUCCUCUCGAGGCCUGUACAAACACAGCAGCAGGUAAAUAAAGCUGCCUGGCGCUGGGAACAAACUGCUGCAAAGACAGGUAAUGCAGCAGGGGCUGUGUCUGCCCCAGGGGCUGGGAUGGGGCAGGAAUGGGGCAGGAAUGGGGAUAGUGUGAGGCACCUUCCCCGUGCCGGGGCUCCUGCCCGGGGAGACGGCACCAGCGGGUGCUGGCAGGAACCCAGACUGUGCCACCAGAGCUGUGCAGGCAGAAAAACCACAUCUAGAGAUGGAAGGGUGAAGGUUAUGGUCAUGAACAUCAUCUCAAUGUAUCGUUUUUUUCUUAUGUUUCUCCCUGGGCUGAAAUAGUCACCCGGGGCCAUCCACUUCCAAAGGAAAUGGAUGAGCACCGUGUCUGCAGAAACCCUGCAAGCAACCUCUGCCUGAUCUUGGAGGUGACAAGGAAGAGUUGAUGUUCACCUUUCAGCCCUCUCACCUGCCAGGGAGCAGCUGGGGGACCUGGAGCAGGCUCAGCUCCAUGGAGCCCUCCGUGUCACACACCACCUCAAACCCACCUCCCAAGCCUACAGGGUUUUCUUUAAAGAACACCCCUGAGAUUGGAAAGAGACAAAGAAAUGCCUGUAAGCUUUAGGUCAACAGCCAGAGA